ACAAGGAACCUUAAGCCCAUUUCCAGCUUGACUUCUUCCCCUUUGCCAUGGAAGAUGCUCGAGCCACACCCAGUACCUCAGUUCACUUUCUGUUGCCUGCGGAUCAAAGAUACAGGACUCCUGGCUCCUUCUCCAGCAUAUGUCUGUCUGCAUGCCGACAUGUCCCCCUGUGAUGACAAUGAACUGAACCUCUGAAAAUAUCUUCAAGUUCCACUGAAGCUGAACCGGAAGGAGACAUAAGCUGGGAAGGUACUGGAGCAUCAGUGUCUUCAGCAUGAAAUAUUUGCCUAAGCCUAGGCCACAAAGAGACACUUCCUC